rnacentral:lncRNA from 1 species
GAUAACAUGCAUGCAUAUGGAACUUGCUGCAUGCCAGCACCAUGUUCUCCUCAUCUAUCCCCAAACAUGGGCUUCCUUGAGGCACAGUCAUUCAACCAACCAGCCAGCAUUCAUUGAGCACCAUCUAUGUCCUGGGCACUGCUAGGGGAUGGUGAUAACAGGGAGAAGACUCUGUCCCUGCCUUCCAAUUGUGUAGAGGAAGACAUCCCCCUACAUGAUGGGUGAGACAUAGCAGAAGUGAGUAGGGGAUGAGGUGGGGGCUCAGAGGAGGGCAUGGUCAGCCUGUCUGGGAGGGAGUUGCAUGUGUGCAUCUGAGGUAGGGACAGGCAUGCAUCUUACAGGAUGAAUAUCGAGCAGAGUUACAGAGAGGGGGAAACUCCUUGAGGUUUCAGGAAUCACCUAAUCCACUGUGACUCACAAAUUCCUGCCUCUUGGCUUUGCCUGCAGCAUAUCUCCUGGAAGUGUGCUGGGGCAAAACUCAUCCCAGACCACCAUCUCCAUCCUCCCCCAAUACACCCUGGCUCUCCCUGGCUACCCUUGAGCACGGUGCACGUGUGCAUGGGUGCAUGCCUGCAUAUAUAGCUAUCCCCCAUGUAUUUCCCAAAGCCCUACAUAAUGCUUCAGUUUGCUAAGGAAAAAAUGUUAAUUACUGCAAAU